rnacentral:rRNA from 1 species
AGAGUUUGAUCCUGGCUCAGGACGAACGCUGGCGGCGCGCCUAACACAUGCAAGUCGAACGAGCGAGAGAGAGCUUGCUUUCUCGAGCGAGUGGCGAACGGGUGAGUAACGCGUGAGGAACCUGCCUCAAAGAGGGGGACAACAGUUGGAAACGACUGCUAAUACCGCAUAAGCCCACGGGUCGGCAUCGACCAGAGGGAAAAGGAGCAAUCCGCUUUGAGAUGGCCUCGCGUCCGAUUAGCUAGUUGGUGAGGUAACGGCCCACCAAGGCGACGAUCGGUAGCCGGACUGAGAGGUUGAACGGCCACAUUGGGACUGAGACACGGCCCAGACUCCUACGGGAGGCAGCAGUGGGGAAUAUUGCACAAUGGGGGAAACCCUGAUGCAGCGACGCCGCGUGGAGGAAGAAGGUCUUCGGAUUGUAAACUCCUGUUGUUGGGGAAGAUAAUGACGGUACCCAACAAGGAAGUGACGGCUAACUACGUGCCAGCAGCCGCGGUAAAACGUAGGUCACAAGCGUUGUCCGGAAUUACUGGGUGUAAAGGGAGCGCAGGCGGGAAGACAAGUUGGAAGUGAAAUCUAUGGGCUCAACCCAUAAACUGCUUUCAAAACUGUUUUUCUUGAGUAGUGCAGAGGUAGGCGGAAUUCCCGGUGUAGCGGUGGAAUGCGUAGAUAUCGGGAGGAACACCAGUGGCGAAGGCGGCCUACUGGGCACCAACUGACGCUGAGGCUCGAAAGUGUGGGUAGCAAACAGGAUUAGAUACCCUGGUAGUCCACACCGUAAACGAUGAUUACUAGGUGUUGGAGGAUUGACCCCUUCAGUGCCGCAGUUAACACAAUAAGUAAUCCACCUGGGGAGUACGACCGCAAGGUUGAAACUCAAAGGAAUUGACGGGGGCCCGCACAAGCAGUGGAGUAUGUGGUUUAAUUCGA